rnacentral:lncRNA from 1 species
AAUAAGUUUAAGUUUUUUUUUAAAACGUCAAUAUGUUACAUAACCUUACUUCCAUAUUUUGUUUUCAACAUUUAUAAAAUUAAUUGAAAACUUCAAUAUAUGAGAGAUUAUUAAGUUAAGUGCAUAAAGUGUGAUUUUGACUAGAUUGCGUGUUCUGUGCUAAAAAUCUGCUUGAAAUUAUGCAGUCUGAUGGCCACUCUGCUGGAUUUGUGAUAAUAGGCCCUGGGUUAUUAUGAAAAUCUAGUAAAGUAGUCAACAAACUGCAUAAUAGUUUCCAGCAAAACAGGAAGAUUUCCAGCACAAGAGCAUGCAAGCAAUUCAGCCAAAAACAUCAUGUGCGGUUGGCUUUUAAAGCUCUACAACACAUUGAAUAAUUUUACAAAAUUAUAGUAGUUCAAAGAAAUAUUCUUACAUGUAUUAUAUGAUACUAAUUAUCCAGAUAGCUAAAUCUGCGUAUAAUAGAGUCUGAAUGCAAAUGCAUAGCCAUCUGUGUCUGUUUUAAGCUUGUAUUCUUUAGACAUCUAUUGAAAUAACCUUAUGGUAGGUAAAUGGCAAGAGUGAUCAUUGGAACCUGUCAUAAAGUUAUUUCAAUAGACAUCUACAGAAUAUAAGCUUAACGCAGACACAGAUAGCUAUAGAUUUGCUUUGAGAGUUUGUUAUUCGUAGUCUUGGCUGACAGGGUAAUGUAUUGUAUAUGUUAUGUACUAUUUCAGAAAUAUGGCUUAUGCUGUGGUAAAAUUUCUUGAUGAUAGUGCAGUAAAUGAAGUUCCAACAAAUUGGAUUCAAAAAGAUCAGAAUGAAACAGUAUGUUGGUGGCCAACAACAAAAACAAAAAAUUUAUCAACUUUAAUAUUAAAACGUACUGAACCAGAUGUUAAAACAUGGAUGCAACAUCCAAUAUUAAUUGAAAAAUACUGUAGUACAUUGGGCAAAGCUCAAAAAGUUGCGGAAAAUAAUAAUUAUACUUCCACAGAUGAAGUUGAUUUGGGAAAAGGGUAUAGAAAAAAAGUGCCCAAGCAAUUUUUUUAAGAUAACGAUAGUGAUAACGAAGACAAGAACCUAGAUGAUAUGGAUAAUGAAACAAGUCAAACAAAGAUAUCACAAUGUUGGCAGUCAGGGAAUUUGCCUACAAAUAAAACUGAUAAAACUGCUGAUUUAAUAUUUUCAUCACAUUCACAAGAAAUUUCAAAAAAAGACAAAAAACAAGGACAAUCAAGGAACAAAUACAAAAAAAAAUUAUCCACUAAGGAUAUUCAUAUAGAGAGCGAUUCCGAAAAAGAGAACAUAAGUGAUAAUCAAAGUGACGUAUCGAAAAGUCCAACUGAAAUACCACAAUGGCCUCGUUCUAUAACAGCAGAACGUUCUGAAUAUCAAUCAGUUUCGCCACGUACAAGUAUUAACGAUAAUAAAAGAAAAAAUGUACUUCAACGAAUGCAACAAAAGAUGUAGAGAAUACAAAUUCCCAGAAAAAUAAAUAUGACGAACUGAUGAACAUAACCAAAAAUAUUGAAAGAAAUAUUACUAUUGUAAUUAAAAUGGUAGCUAAACUACAAGUAAAAAUGCAAGAUAUUAUGCAACGUAUAGACAGAAUAACACCUUCAGUAAAAAUAACGUCUUCAACAGAACGAGUUACUAAUUGUUUACCAUUAAAAACAGUUAACGAUAUCAGACAUAUGGAAACUCGAUUACAAGACGAAGAUUUUCUUAAAGAAUAUUGUUUACUGGGAGUGUACACGAUAAUCCUUGAGACCUGCCAAGCAAUUUGAGAAUUGAGCCAAGCAAUUUGAGCAUUACAACCAACUUUUCUCCCAACUAUGGAUAAAAAUUCGUGGAAUAGAGUGGCACAGGGAUUCAUGGAUAAAUGGCAGUUCCCUAAUUGCGUCGGUGCCAUUGAUGGGAAACACAUACGCAUUAAAACCCUUGCUAUGUCAGGAUCCCAAUUUUACAAUUAUAAAGGAUUUUUUAGCAUGGUACUUAUGGCUGCUUGCGAUGGAGAAUAUAAGUUUACAUGGGUGGAUAUUGAAAAGUACAGUUUAUUGAGUGAUGGUAAAAAAUUUAUUUAAACCAUACAUCUGUAAGAUUCAAAAAGAGCAAUCGUUUAUCUUUAUUCCUUUCUCUUUCUAAUCUCUCUUCUUCAAGAUCCUCCUUAGUUAGAAAAGGGUAUGUUCAGGAUGUAGGGGUUCCGAGCGAUUAAUAUGAAACUAUUCUUAUAUUGAACAAGAAUAUAAAAAUAUAUAUAUUGUAAAAAGAACACAAAUACAAUUGUACCCGACACCGCGAUUUAUACAAAAUAUAUCGCUUUACAAAGCUUGACGAUCUCCGACUUUGUCUCUCGACUCGACUCUAUUUUUAAUUAUCCGUCUCCAAGCUAAAUGGCAAAAGCCCUGUCUCCGUCCGUUCGUCUCCUUUUAUCUUCUCUCCAUCCGCCGAACCUGAACUGUUGGGACCGGACUUUCUCCUGUGUCUCCCCCGGAACAGGCUGGUGCUGUCCUUCCUCGUCUAUAUCUUACACAUCCAUGUAAAAAUAUGUUAAAUAUAGAAUUGUAUGUCUUUCAU